GUGUAUAUCUAUAUAGACUAUAAAGAGAGAGAGAGAGAGAGAGAGAGAGAGAGAGAAUUCAAAGCCGAAGAAAAACUGAAACAGAGCAAGCACACUGUCAUUUACCCCCACACGGCUACGCCAACAAUAAGUAGCACAAUUCGACGGUAAUUCCUAAUGGCGAAAACGGGGGUAUUCGACGGGGAUCCGACGAUGAUAACGAAGGCGUCGGAGUUGAAGAAGGAGCUGCAGAGACUGGUCAGGGCAAUCGUGGACAACGACGAUUCCAACGCGGAGACCAUCGAUCGAGCCACCCAGACGCUGCGUGCACUCAAGGAGGUGAAAUCCAAGACAAGGGUUUCUCUCAGAAAACCGAGUUACGAUGGGGGCUUGUUGAGUUGCUGUCCAGAGGAGUUUCGGUGCCCUAUUUCCAGUGAGCUCAUGAGAGAUCCUGUUAUUGUCUCCACUGGUCAGACGUAUGAUAGACCAUUUAUCCAGAGAUGGUUGAAAUCGGGGCACCGGACAUGCCCUCGAACUCAACAAGUCCUCUCACACACCCUCCUUACGCCUAACCUUUUGAUUCGCGAAAUGAUAUCACAAUGGUGUAAAAGUCAUGAGAUGCAAUUGCCAGACCCAACUCAGUAUUCCAAUGAGGAUGGAUUAACAGAAGCCGAUCGAGACCAUUUCAUUUCUUUGCUCGAGAAAAUGUCCUCGACUCUGUCCGAACAGAAGGAAGCUGCAAGGGAAUUGCGGUUGUUGACAAAGAGGAUGCCUUCUUUUCGGGCACUCUUUUCCGAAUCUAUGGACGCAAUACCUCAGCUGCUCAAUCCUCUCUCUCAAAACAGGUCUCAAAUCGACCUUCACCCGGAGCUCCAAGAAGACCUAAUCACAACGCUUUUGAAUCUAUCAAUCCACGACAACAACAAGAAGUUUGUUGCGGAGACUCCAAUGGUUAUCUCUCUUGUUAUAGAUGCACUGAGAUCUGGGACAAUAGAAACGAGAAGCAAUGCGGCUGCAACCCUCUUCACAUUGUCAGCUUUGGACUCAAAUAAGGCGCUUAUUGGAAAAUCCGGUGCCCUGAAAUCCCUAAUAGACCUUUUAGAAGAAGGGCAUCCACUAGCUAUGAAAGAUGUUGCCUCGGCAGUUUUUAACCUAUGUAUUAUCCAGGAGAACAAGGCAAGCGCCGUGAGGGAUGGCGCAGUGAGAGUGAUUUUAAAGAAGAUCGCGAAUCGUAUCCAUGUGGAUGAGCUAUUGGCUAUCCUUGCAAUUCUUUCAAGCAAUCCGAAGGCGGUUGAGGAAAUGGGAGAGCUUGGGGGUGUUCCUUGUUUGCUCAGUGUAAUUAGGGAGAGCUUGUGUCCUCGAAACAAAGAGAAUUGCAUUGCGAUCCUCCAUACAAUUUGUUUCAACGACCGAACCAAGUGGAAGGAGAUGAGGGAAGAAGAGACUACUUAUGGGACUAUCUCUCAGCUUGCACAAAAUGGGACUUUGAGGGCGAAGAGGAAGGCCAGUGGCAUUCUUGAGAGAUUGAAUAGAAUUGUCAAUCUUACCCAUACUGCGUAAUAAGUCUCUUGUGCAGCUUUUCCAUGCUCAGAAUCUGUAAAUUCUACCUCUUUCAGUGUUACCAACGUCAAACAGGUGGCUGCCCCAAUGUUUCUGCAAUACCCAGCUACCCGGUUUCCAUGAUGGUCUCGUAUUAGACCUCCUGGCGCCGUCUGUGUCGAAUUGCACCACAAUGCUCCAUCUGAGUUUAACUGAAACCCAUCCGGUUUAGGUGGCCUCCAACCCAUUAUUUGCCAUAUCGGGACCCUGGUCUCAAUCCGUCUGCCUGCCAAAGUUUUCCAUUCUCGUUAUGUUUUGAUAUGUUUGCUUUUGUGUUUUCUAGUAACUCUUGCACUUGGUUGUUAGUAGAUUGCUGGAACUUUGCUUGGAAGUGGCAAUUGUGAUCUUUUUUCUUGUUUGAAAACAGAUGGCCCCAUUUGUUUUGUCUGCACUUCACAUUCAAUGUGAGCCCAUUUCAUUGGAUAUUGGAAUUUCUCAUUUAAAUAUAGGAUGGUACCUUAUCUACAUCUUUGAUUGUCGAAAAUUCCAAUACUUCAAUGACUGGAGAACAAAGCAAAACCUUGUCGUUGUUGCCAUCUUUGAAAAGGAAAAAAUUGAAU